GGUUGCGAUCAUACCUGCACUAAUGCACCGGAUCCCAUCAGAACUCCGCAGUUAAGCGUGCUUGGGCGAGAGUAGUACUAGGAUGGGUGACCCCCUGGGAAGUCCUCGUGUUGCAACCC
rnacentral:rRNA from 1 species